rnacentral:rRNA from 1 species
UACGUAGGGUGCGAGCGUUGUCCGGAAUUAUUGGGCGUAAAGAGCUUGUAGGCGGUUUGUCGCGUCUGCUGUGAAAGCCCGGGGCUUAACCCCGGGUCUGCAGUGGGUACGGGCAGGCUAGAGUGUGGUAGGGGGGACUGGAAUUCCUGGUGUAGCGGUGGAAUGCGCAGAUAUCAGGAGGAACACCGAUGGCGAAGGCAGGUCUCUGGGCCACUACUGACGCUGAGAAGCGAAAGCGUGGGGAGCGAACAGG